GAUGAAGAACGCAGCGAAAUGCGAUAACUAGUGUGAAUUGCAGAUUUCAGUGAAUCAUCGAAUCUUUGAACGCACAUUGCGCCCGCCAGCACUCUGGCGGGCAUGCCUGUUCGAGCGUCAUUUCAACCAUCAAGCCCCCAGGGGCUUGUGCUGGGGCCCUGCGGCUGCCCGCAGGCCCUGAAAACCAGUGGCGGGCUCGCUAGUCACACCGAGCGCAGUAGCACAUCUCGCUCAGGGCGUGCGGCGGGCUCCUGCCGUGAAACCCCCCACUGUAACCCCAAAGGUUGACCUCGGAUCAGGUAGGAAUACCCGCUGAACUUAAGCAUAUCAAUAAGCGGAGGA
rnacentral:misc_RNA from 1 species